rnacentral:rRNA from 2 species
GAUGAACGCGGGCGGCGUGCCUAAUACAUGCAAGUCGAACGAGUUCUCGUUGAUGAUCGGUGCUUGCACCGAGAUUCAACAUGGAACGAGUGGCGGACGGGUGAGUAACACGUGGGUAACCUGCCCUUAAGUGGGGGAUAACAUUUGGAAACAGAUGCUAAUACCGCAUAGAUCCAAGAACCGCAUGGUUCUUGGCUGAAAGAUGGCGUAAGCUAUCACUUUUGGAUGGACCCGCGGCGUAUUAGCUAGUUGGUGAGGUAACGGCUCACCAAGGCGAUGAUAUGUAGCCGAACUGAGAGGUUGAUCGGCCACAUUGGGACUGAGACACGGCCCAAACUCCUACGGGAGGCAGCAGUAGGGAAUCUUCCACAAUGGACGCAAGUCUGAUGGAGCAACGCCGCCUGAGUGAAGAAGGCUUUCGGGUCGUAAAACUCUGUUGUGGAGAAGAAUGGUCGGCAGAGU